GACGAACGCUGGCGGCGUGCUUAACACAUGCAAGUCGAACGGUAAGGCCCUUCGGGGUACACGAGUGGCGAACGGGUGAGUAACACGUGGGUGAUCUGCCCUGCACUUCGGGAUAAGACUGGGAAACUGGGUCUAAUACCGGAUAGGACUCCAGGCUUCAUGGUUGGGGGUGGAAAGCUUUUGCGGUGUGGGAUGGGCCCGCGGCCUAUCAGCUUGUUGGUGGGGUAAUGGCCUACCAAGGCGACGACGGGUAGCCGGCCUGAGAGGGUGACCGGUCACACUGGGACUGAGAUACGGCCCAGACUCCUACGGGAGGCAGCAGUGGGGAAUAUUGCACAAUGGGCGCAAGCCUGAUGCAGCGACGCCGCGUGAGGGAUGACGGCCUUCGGGUUGUAAACCUCUUUCAGCUAUGACGAAGCGCAAGUGACGGUAGUAGCAGAAGAAGGACCGGCCAACUACGUGCCAGCAGCCGCCGUAA
rnacentral:rRNA from 1 species